rnacentral:lncRNA from 1 species
UGAACUUUCAUUUGCUGCUCAACGGUCACUGAACUUACAAACACACCACUCUAUCCAUUACCCAUUGCCCCAGCCGUUUGAACCCGUCUCAUGUGGCUUGACGGCAGGCGACGUGGUUGUCGACGGCGUCAAGCUCGGCCAUGGUGGAUGCGAUUUGACAGCCAAAACAAGAUCCUCUUCACCAUUUCCCAAUCCAUAAGUCUCUCAUCCCUAAUUUGAACACACAGCCCUAGAUUGAUUUCCUUCAAAAUCCUCCCCCAAAUCGAUUCUUCCACACUUGGUGAAAUUGGCAGAUCUUCAUCGCCUUCACAGUUACAUUAGACGUAGGUCGUCUCGUCAUCCUCGUCUUCCUCGCAACUACAUACUGAUUGUGCACACGAACCCACAUACUGGCAGGUGAAAGUUUUCAAAAUGCGAAAGAGGUGAAGAAUUAACAUCCUGAACUUCCAUGUAAUGGUCUGAAUGUGAAUUUAUUGCCUGGUUUGAGAAUGAACAAUUUUUUAUGUUGGAAGUUGAAGUUGAUUGGCAAUCUAUUGCUAGCAUAUGAAAUACAACAAUAUGAAAUACAUUGAACAGCCGGCCCCCUUUUUUGUAAUGUUAUUGAAUUAUAUUCAGAGAAUUUUGAUCUCUAAGGGAGCUACUACUGAUAAUCAUUCUGUAUUGUUGGUAUCCAAACAUGCUCUUUAAGCUUAUACUGCUAUCUUGAUUGAGUGUAAAUGUUUUUUUUAUACAAAAACAUGUUUGGAUUGAAUUUGAAACAUACCUUUGGUAACUAGUUCUUUUUCCUGCCCCUGUUUGGGUACACUUUUAGCAUAUUAUAUAUGUUUUGGUGUUGUGUCUUGGUGUAUAUGGUGUUCUGUAGUAAAUGGUUAUUCCCAGAUUAUACAAUGCCUGAAAAAUAAUUCAGUUACUGCAGCAAAUAUUAUACUGGAUCCUGCCAUUUUCAACUGAAAAAUAAUUCUGAGAUUAUCUUUCAUUUUCAACUCUAUUGAAUUUAUUGAAAUUGGAAGUUGAAAAUGAAGUGACUUUAUUAUUUUCUGGGUUUUCAUUCUUACAUCUUGCCAUUAACAUUUAACCAAGUGGAAAUAUUAUUUUUAACAUUUAGAUGUAGCAGAUAUUCUUUUCCAUGACUGAUCAAUGAUAUGUUUACUGAGAGACUGUAGUGGAUGCCCAGUUAUACAUUACCUUUGCUUAUUUUUUUAUUUUUUAUAAUGUUAGCUAUAAUGGUCUAAUGCAUUUAGUUUGUAUUCCAGGGUAAACUGGUCUCAUCCAGAGGUAAGGGACCUGCUUCGACCCAAAACCCAGUUGAAGAACAACCCAUGCAGUUCAUGCCUACCCUGAUGGUUGGAAGAUCCAUGCACAGGCGGAAGACAAAAUGAAGAAAAUGAUCGCAUGGACUGAUUUUGUAAACAUCAACGCAUGGACUGAUUGUGUAAACAUCAAUGUGGAUAUGGGAUUUAAAGUAUAUUGUAGUUUUUGUUUUGUGAACAAGGAUGUUAACCUUUUGCUGUUAGAACAGUAUAUAAUUCUUUGCAGUUUUUUAAGUUUUUCAAUGGAAG